GUGAAUUUAGUUUUAAAAAAAACCUUUAACUUGCAAUUAAAAAAUCUAGUACAACAAUUAGAAUUCACA
rnacentral:tRNA from 1 species